rnacentral:lncRNA from 1 species
GGAAUGUGGCUCAAGUUCGGGAGGCGUUACCUGUGGAGGGUUUGAGGCAGGCCCAGCAGCGAGGCCACGGUCUGCCGACGCGGGGCCAGGGGCGGGCCCCAGGAUCCGGAGCUUAGGGCGGGGCCGAGUCCGGGUUUGGGGACCGGGAGGCGGGGCCGGUUAGGGCGAGGGUCCCUGGGAUCGUCGGGUCAGGCCUUGGGCCAACGUAGGCACUCUCGCAGUUCCUCCGCCUUCAGGAAGGUCUUUUUGGCAGGGGCCCUACGGGUGCGCGCUUCGGUCCUGGAGGCCUUAUCCAAGCCUCCUCUCCAUCAGCGCCACCCGUCUGGGGUCCGAAAGGAGGGAGCUUUCCCUCUGUCCCCCAGCCUUUGGACUGUCACCAAACAAGCCAUUCGUUCACCAAAUACUUAUUAAGCGCCUACCAGGUACCUGACAAGGGAGAUGUAACGGGUAUCUCUCUCUGCCACCCAGGCCAGAGUUCAGCUGAUGCAGGGCAGGGGAGCCCCCAAGUGGAGCCUAGUGUGUCCGGAACUGGUGG